GGUAGAUGGAGGGAGGUGCAUAUCGGGUGGGUGGAUCGAAGGGGUAGAUAGAUGGAGGGAGGUGGAUAUCGGGUGGGCGGAUCGAAGGGGUAGAUAGAUGGAGGGAGGUGGAUAUCGGGUGGGUAGAUCGAAGGGGUAGAUAGAUGGAGGGAGGUGGAUAUUGGGUAGGUGGAUUGAAGGGGUAGAUGGACGGAGGUGGAUAUCGGGUGGGUGGAUCGAAGGGGUAGAUAGAUGGAGGGAGGUGGAUAUCGGGUGGGUGGAUCGAAGGGGUAGAUAGAUGGAGGGAGGCGGAUAUCGGGUGAGUGGAUCGAAGGGGUAGAUAGAUGGAGGGAGGUGGAUAUCGGGUGGGUGGAUCGAAGGGGUAGAUAGAUGGAGGGAGGUGGAUAUCGGGUGGGUGGAUCGAAGGGGUAGAUAGAUGGAGGGAGGUGGAUAUUGGGUGGGUGGAUCGAAGGGGUAGAUAGAUGGAGGGAGGUGGAUAUCAGGUGGGUGGAUCGAAGGGGUAGAUAGAUGGAGGGAGGCGGAUAUCGGGUGUGUGGAUGGAAGGAGUAGAUAGAUGGAGGGAGGUGGAUAUCGGGUGGGUGGAUCGAAGGGGUAGAUAGAUAGAGGGAGGUGGAUAUCAGGGGUGGAUAGAAGGGGUAGGUAGAUGGACCAAAGUGGAUAUCUAUUCCCCGAGGGGCUGAGGUCCUGACCCCAAUGAAUCAAUGGCCCCACUAUGAUUGACAUUAGUGGGACCAGUACUUCACCCCAGGAUUUUGCCCAGUCAGAUGUCCCCACCGCUCGGGACUCCCACCCUCUCC